rnacentral:rRNA from 1 species
CCUACGGGAGGCAGCAGUCGAGAAUCAUUCACAAUGGGGGAAACCCUGAUGGUGCGACGCCGCGUGGGGGAAUGAAGGUCUUCGGAUUGUAAACCCCUGUCAUGUGGGAGCAAAUUAAAAAGAUAGUACCACAAGAGGAAGAGACGGCUAACUCUGUGCCAGCAGCCGCGGUAAUACAGAGGUCUCAAGCGUUGUUCGGCAUCACUGGGCGUAAGGCGUGCGUAGGCUGUUUCGUAAGUCGUGUGUGAAAGGCGCGGGCUCAACCCGCGGACGGCACAUGAUACUGCGAGACUAGAGUAAUGGAGGGGGAACCGGAAUGCUCGGUGUAGCAGUGAAAUGCGUAGAUAUCGAGAGGAACACUCGUGGCGAAGGCGGGUUCCUGGACAUUAACUGACGCUGAGGCACGAAGGCCAGGGGAGCGAAAGGGAUUAGAUACCCGUGUAGUC